rnacentral:rRNA from 1 species
AACGAACGCUGGCGGCAGGCCUAACACAUGCAAGUCGAGCGAAGCCUUCGGGCUUAGCGGCGGACGGGUGAGUAACGCGUGGGAACGUGCCCUUUGGUACGGAAUAGCCCCGGGAAACUGGGAGUAAUACCGUCUGUGGACGAGAGACGAAAGAUUUAUCGCCAAAGGAUCGGCCCGCGUUGGAUUAGGUAGUUGGUGGGGUAAUGGCCUACCAAGCCGACGAUCCAUAGCUGGUUUGAGAGGAUGAUCAGCCACACUGGGACUGAGACACGGCCCAGACUCCUACGGGAGGCAGCAGUGGGGAAUCUUAGACAAUGGGGGAAACCCUGAUCUAGCCAUGCCGCGUGAUCGAUGAAGGCCUUAGGGUUGUAAAGAUCUUUCAGUGGGGAAGAUAAUGACUGUACCCACAGAAGAAGCCCCGGCUAACUCCGUGCCAGCAGCCGCAGUAAUAC